GACGUAGGGCGCGAGCGUUGUCCGGAUUUAUUGGGCGUAAAGAGCUCGUAGGCGGCUUGUUGCGUCAGCUGUGAAAACCCGCAGCUCAACUGUGGGCUUGCAGCUGAUACGGGCGGGCUGGAGUUCGGUAGGGGAGACUGGAAUUCCUGGUGUAGCGGUGAAAUGCGCAGAUAUCAGGAGGAACACCGGUGGCGAAGGCGGUUCUCUGGGAAUAUUCUGACGCUGAGGAGCGAAAGUGUGGGGGAGCGAACAGG
rnacentral:rRNA from 1 species